ACGCAAAAAAAAUUUCUUCAAUGUGAUCUUAAGUCAUUUUCAGGGUGUGGGUGUGUGUGUUCGAACCCCCUGAACCCCCCAUCUGGAUCCGCCACUGCUAGCUCAUGGACAGAUCCGCCCUUGAUCGCGUUGCCAUUUUGCCGACCAGUCAAACGUCGAGAUUAGGAGAAGGGGCAAGGGCGGUAACUCGUAUGGCCUUGAAACCUAAAUAAACCUAAGCCACUUCUAAUGGACUUUCCCUUACAAAAUUUUUAGGACUUUCUUUUUGCCUAUGCGUCAGGCACAUCAUGGGCAGUUAAUUUGAGAUCGCGAGAACCUCAUGGGUUAGUGUAGGUUUAUAGAAAUACCAGCCCGGUAGAUAUGGCAACCGCUUACAUGUAUGGCGGUUGUUAGAUGCGACCAAACAAGUGGCCAUCAUCAGUGACGUGAUUGAUAGCGUGAACGUUGCCCUUUAUAUAAAUCACCAGAUCGUCUGGUCUGAAUAUUUAAAGCGUCCUCUCGUCACGCCGAAGACCCGGUUCGAUUCCCCUCAUGAGUGUAGAGUGUGAAGCCCAUUUUUGGUGUCCUCUGUCGUGACUUUGCCGGAAUAUUGCUAAAACCAUACACACUCACUUACUUACUCUAAUUUCAGGCCACUCUGUGGCGUACUUGAAAUGCUGUAUAGAGAUAAUGCUAAUUCACUCACUCACUCUAGUCUGCAUGGAAACCAUGCUUUAAGGCAUUACACAAUUUCGUAUUGUGUUUGUAUUGUGAUUACAGUCAGGGGCACGGGUGGCCCAGUCGUCUCAGGUUCCACAAUUCGAGUUGCCUCACUGAGAUUAUGGAUUCAAAUCCUCCAAGUUGAAGUCUAUUAAUUUAUAGCUUUUCAAAUAGCAAAUAUGUGUGGAAAUAUAUGGUAGAGAAAUUGAUUUUCAACAUUCCACAUGUUGGUACAAGUGUGUAUGGUACUUGUGAAGCAAUAUGAACUGUUUUAUGCUUAAAGUUUGCAUGUCUAUGGUCUGUUUGCAACUUAUUUUGCCUGGAAGAGCCGGGCGUUGCUGGGAGCAAGAUGUUCUGUUGGAAGCAUGUCCAGAUGACUGGAAUAUCAAUAUUUUCACUUUGUCAGUGAACUUGACUGGUGUAACUAUACAUGUAUAUUAAACUGUUUUCUUUUCUU